rnacentral:lncRNA from 1 species
GAUUGAACCUUUGUAAGGUGUUAAUCACUAAAGGAUAUUCAGUUAGUCUGUCAUUCAUAAUUGCACACAGUCCAUUCCAAAACGAUGGUGCUUCAAUAAUGAUCUUGAAAUAGGAAUAAUAAAGACCCAUUUCUGUGCGAAAAGCCAUUUCUCUUUCUAGUGUUGACAGGUGAGAAAAGUGACGGUCAUUUUCAAACAGAGUUGUUAUGUGCCACCAAUGUAGGACUCCUGCACAAGCAGCCAGAAUGAAAGUGAGCCAUAUCUUGCUGUCAGCUUUAACAAUGGCGUCCAUUCUGUCAUCAACAAAUGCUCGCAGCCGCUCUCCGCAGACGCGCAGCAGCCGGAGGGGCCCCGGGCCCGGCGCGUCCCGCAGCCCGCCGCCCGCCGGCCCCGCCCUGCCGCCUCGCGGGGGGUCGCUCCUGCCGCCCCUCCGCCCGCCGCCUGCCCGCCGCGCGGCGCGGGCCCCGCCGGGGACCUGCCCUCCGGGGGAGCGCGCCAGGCCCCUUCGGCCGCUCCCGGGACUGGAGCCCGGCGACCACUGCCCGGGUUUGAGCGGCAGCGACUCUUUGUUCCCGCCUCCGGUCGGGACGGCCAUCUCCGCAUAGUCCCCGCCGGGGCCGGGAGCCGCGCCGGAGGGGAGGCGAGGGGGGCGGCGCUCCGCCGGGAGCUUCCCCCACCCCCGGGCAGGGCCUGGAGGCCGCGGGGCGGGGCCGCAGCCCGCGGGCUCCGCGCUCCGGGCCGAGGGGGCGGCCGGGCGCUCCUCCGCCGCGCCGCUCCGCUCCCGCUCCGCCCGGCUGGCCACGUGGGGGCGGGGGCGGUGCUCC